AGAGUUUGAUCAUGGCUCAGGAUGAACGCUAGCGGCAGGCCUAAUACAUGCAAGUCGAACGGUAACAUUGGUGCUUGCACCAGAUGACGAGUGGCGCACGGGUGCGUAACGCGUAUGCAAUCUACCUUUUACUAGAGUAUAGCCCAGAGAAAUUUGGAUUAAUCCUCUAUAAUAUCUUUAAGUUUCAUGACUUUUAGAUUAAAGUUUUAACGGUAAAAGAUGAGCAUGCGUCCUAUUAGUUUGUAGGUGAGGUAACGGCUCACCUAGACUACGAUAGGUAGGGGCCCUGAGAGGGGGAUCCCCCACACUGGUACUGAGACACGGACCAGACUCCUACGGGAGGCAGCAGUAAGGAAUAUUGGACAAUGGACGAAAGUCUGAUCCAGCCAUGCCGCGUGCAGGAUGAAAGCCCUAUGGGUUGUAAACUGCUUUUAUACAGGAAGAAACACUCGUACGUGUACGAGCUUGACGGUACUGUAAGAAUAAGGACCGGCUAACUCCGUGCCAGCAGCCGCGGUAAUACGGAGGGUCCGAGCGUUAUCCGGAAUCAUUGGGUUUAAAGGGUCCGCAGGCGGUCUUUUAAGUCAGAGGUGAAAUCCUACAGCUCAACUGUAGAACGGCCUUUGAUACUGAAAGACUUGAGUUAUUAU
rnacentral:rRNA from 1 species